rnacentral:sRNA from 1 species
ACAAACAGGAGGUCGGAAGGAAGCUGUGGGGGUAGAUCUGGAGGUGACAAGGGAGGGAUCCUUAUGGGAUAAUGGGUCUUCAGAGACUGUUUCAGUUUAGACUCCAGUGACCCCAGAACUAGUGUGAUUGGGGUUCUUGUCUCCAGGAUAAAAAUGGGAAAGAGUUGUCAGAUGAGGACAUAAGAGCAGAAGCUGACACUUUCAUGUUUGGAGGCCAUGACACCACGGCCAGUGGCCUCUCCUGGGUCUUGUACAACCUCGCGAGGCACCCAGAAUACCAAGAACGCUGCCGGCAGGAGGUGCAAGAGCUUCUGAAGGACCGUGAGCCUAAAGAGAUUGAAUGGGACGACCUGGCCCAGUUGCCCUUCCUGACCAUGUGCCUGAAGGAGAGCCUGCGGUUGCAUCCCCCAAUCCCUAUAUUCGCCCGCGGCUGCACCCAGGACGUGGUGCUCCCAGACAGCCGAGUCAUCCCCAAAGGGAAUGUCUGUAACAUCAACAUCUUCGCAAUCCAUCACAACCCCUCAGUCUGGCCAGACCCUGAGGUCUAUGACCCCUUCCGCUUCGACCCAGAAAACGCCCAGAAGAGGUCACCUAUGGCUUUUAUUCCUUUCUCGGCGGGGCCCAGGAACUGCAUCGGGCAGAAGUUCGCGAUGGCAGAGAUGAAGGUGGUCCUGGCGCUCACGCUGCUGCGCUUCCGCAUCCUGCCCGACCACAGGGAGCCACGCAGGACGCCGGAGAUUGUUUUGCGUGCGGAGGACGGACUUUGGCUGCGAGUAGAGCCCCUGGGCUGAGGCCUGCAGUGACCCACCCACCUACCUUUGCAUCACCUACCUUUGCACCAACUACCUUUUCAGAUUUCCGGUAAUAAAUCUGUGCUGGCCCCUG